rnacentral:rRNA from 1 species
UACCUGGUUGAUCCUGCCAGUAGUCAUAUGCUCGUCUCAAAGAUUAAGCCAUGCAUGUCUAAGAUACAGCCCUUUAGUAUCAAAGGCGAGACCGCGAACGGCUCAUUAAAUCAGCUGUAGUCUACUGGAUCUUGCUGUUAAAUAAAUAAAUAAUGUCCCUACUUGGAUAACUGUGGUAAUUCUAGAGCUAAUACAUGCAUCAAGGCUCUGACCCUUGUCGUUUAGCAGCGGCUCUCAUUGUAGAGUAGCAGCGAACGUCGUUAAUGGGAAUGAGCGCAGUUAUUAGACCACACAGACCAACGGGAGUAGUAGCAACUGUGUUAACUCACUUUGCCACUCUCCCAUACUUCUCGCAGUUAUGCGAGGAACUGGUGGUGACUCUGGAUAACCUAGUGCCGAGCGUAUGGCCUUUUGAGCCGUCGCUGUAUCCUUCGAGUGUCUGCCUUAUCAGCUUUCGUCUGUAGUUUAAAUGACUACAGUGGCUGUCACGGGUGACGGGGAAUCAGGGUUCGAUUCCGGAGAGGGAGCCUGAGAAACGGCUACCACAUCUAAGGAAGGCAGCAGGCGCGCAAAUUACCCACUCCCAGCACGGGGAGGUAGUGACGAAAGAUAACGGUGUGUGACUUAUGGAGGUGUCCGCACCGGAAUGAGUACACUCUAAAUCCUUCAACGAGGAUCCAUUGGAGGGCAAGUCUGGUGCCAGCAGCCGCGGUAAUUCCAGCUCCAAUAGCGUAUAUUAAAGUUGCUGCAGUUAAAAAGCUCGUAGUUGAACCUCGGUACCUAAGGGGUAAGCGCCAUCGUUCCUGUUCUCUCGAAUGGAAGAGUAGAGGCGGUCGGUGGCGUCCCCUUGGGGCCCCAAUGGCGGGCUAGCCCUUUAUAAGUGGUUGGAGCGCGAGGUGCCCUUUGUCGGGUGUCUCGUGCGACCCGCCGGUUCACCUUGAAGAAACUGGAGUGCUCAGAGCAGGCGCGGCCCUUGGGGCCGAAACGCCUGCACAACAUCGCAUGGAAUGAUUGAACAAGACCUCGGCUCAAUCUCUGUUGGUCUGACGAGGCUGAGGUAAUGAUUAACAGGAACGGACGGGGGCAUCCGUACUGCGACGCUAGAGGUGAAAUUCUUGGACCGUCGCAGGACGAACAAAAGCGAAAGCAUUUGCCAAGAACGCUUUCAUUAAUCAAGAACGAAAGUCAGAGGAUCGAAGGCGAUCAGAUACCGCCCUAGUUCUGACCGUAAACUAUAUGAACCAGCGAUCCGCUGAACGCCCAGCACGACGGCUCAGCGGGAAGUCUCCGGGAAACCAGAGUCUUUGCAUUCUGGGGAGAUUAUGUUUGCAAAUACGAAAUUUGAAGGAAUUGACGGAAGGGCACCACCAGGAGUGGAGCCUGCGGCUUAAUUUGACUCAACACGGGGAACCUCACCGGGCCCGGACACCGGAAGGAUUGACAGAUUGAGAGCUCUUUCUUCGAAUCGGUGGGUGGUGGUGCAUGGCCGUUCUUAGUUGGUGGAGCGAUCUGUCUGGUUAAUUCCGAUAACGAACGAGACUCCAACCUGCUAACUAGACGGCGGACACGUAAACGGCUGGUGAAGGGUACGGGGCAAUUGUGCGUUCGGUCGUGGACUUUGUGGAUAUGGUUUUGGCGCUCCUUUCUGAGGAGUCUGCUGGGCCUUGAAGCUUAGUUUCGCUUCCGUUUUCGUCUUUUGUCUGCCGCCCUUUGCCCACCUGCUUGACGGGUGCUCAUUGGGGCUGUUGGCUUAGUCGCGAGUGCUGCUCUUGUAGUAGAACUAACGACGGCCUUUAGUUUCCAGGAGAGCUGGUCCGUCGAAUUGUAUAGUCUUCUUAGAGGAAUCAGUGGCUUCUAGCCAACGAGAUGGAGCAAUAACAGGUCUGUGAUGCCCUUAGAUGUUCCGGGCCGCACGCGCGCUACAAUGGAGGGAUCAGCGGGAUUACCGUCUCCGAGAGGAGUGGGUGAACCGUUGAAACCCCUUCGUGGUUGGGAUCGGGGCAUGCAAGUGCCCGUGAACGAGGAAUUCCCAGUAGCCGCGAGUCAUCAGCUUGCGACGAUUACGUCCCUGCCCUUUGUACACACCGCCCGUCGCUACUACCGAUCGAACGAUAGGGUGAGGGCUUCGGACCGUUGUCUCCCUCUCCGCUACUUUACUUUUUAAGUUUUGUAGCGCGGGAGAAGAUGAGAAGUUGUCCGAACUCGAUCGUUUAGAGGAAGUAAAAGUCGUAACAAGGUUUCCGUAGUGAACCU